UGAAGCACAAGGACCAACGUAAGGAUCACAGUUCAAGUCCCCUGCUCCCCACCUGCAGGGGAGUCGCUUCACAGUGAAGCAGGUCUGCAAGUGUCUGUCUUUCUUUCCUCCUCUCUAUCUCCCCCUCCUCUUUCCAUUUCUCUCUGUCCUAUCCAACAACAAUGAUAAACGACAAGGGCAACAAAAAGGGGAGAAAA